rnacentral:snRNA from 1 species
AUACUUACCUGAUGGGAGAGAUACUGUGAUCACGAAGGCGGUGCUCUCAGGGUGAUGUCUGGCCAUUGCACUUCGGGCAGGUUGACCCCUGCGAUUUCCCCAAAUGUUAUUGUCAGGUCGUGCGAGAUC